rnacentral:snRNA from 1 species
ACAUGUGACGGUGAUCUGGCCGAGACUGCUGUCCUUGAUCACCAGCGCUGACCCGGCUAAUCUGCUGGUUAGGCUGGCGUCCCUCCCUCCCUCACGGUUCCAUGUGUGUCUGGAGCUGAGCACUCUGUUGAGGAGGACAACUGUCCCUGGAAGAGGAGGACUGUUCUUCUGUCAAAGGUUCGUA